CUGAGUUAUUUAAAAUAUACCAAAGGCCAAGAGAGUCUGUAGAUUCAUACAUAUAUAAGUUUAAAAAUGUGCAUAAAAAUGCAAAGUAUCUUGGCCUGAAUGUGAGUUUGUCAAAUUGGCCCGAGGCGGUAUAUUCAUUGAGCUUAGAAAGAAGUUUCAGGGCAUGGAGUUUCGGGAUUUCUUUGAGUUUGCUAUGAAAGUGGUACACAAUGAAGAGCUACUUAGGGAAGAAAAUCAAAAAAGGAAAACUUCCAUGGGUACCUAUUUUCAAGAAAUUGUUGAUGAUGUGGAUAUUGUUGAUUUUGUUAAUAUAGGUAGCUAUGUUUGUUCUAUGUUAUCUAAACUAGCAAAAUCUCUAG
rnacentral:misc_RNA from 1 species